AAGGGCAUUUGGGAACCACACCCAGAAGGAAGUGAAGAGAGCAGGACUGGCAGAAGGAAAAGUUGAAGUUCAAUGUAGUUGGAGCAGAGGCCUCAGACCCUCAGACAAGUCCACAGAGAGCUCAGGAGUUGAGAUAAUACCUCAGAGGUUUCUCAAAUUGAGGCACAGAGGCCAGGUCUUCUUCUCCCUCCAUCAACUAGACAUUGCAUGAAGUCUGCUUCAAAGGAAGGGGUGUGCCUUUAACUGAGGGCAACUGAAGGGGUAACUGUGAGCAGCCUGCCAGCCCGAGAUCUGAGCACCUCCACCCCGGAGGGAGUGUUUCUAGGUGAAGCUGCAAAGCAUGUGCUACACAAGGUUCCUUGAACCAUCAAAGUUAAAGGGAAAGAGAAAGCAAAUAUCCAGAUAAAAUUCUAGGGAAAAUAUUACAAUGCACAUUUUCUGAACAAAGGAAGCGAAGAGAGGAAAGGAGAGCAAGAAAGAGAGGACGAGUUAACAUCUUUCUAUACCUAUUCUCGCAAGACGUUGUGCCUUACUCAUAAUAUAUAUGCUGCAUGCAUAAAUGAAUGAAAAAUGAGGCUACCUUUUCCAUUCUAUAAAAAUAUUGCAUGCAUAUAUUGUUCAGAUUAUAAACAUCUUCAAGAAAUUCUGCUCACUCAUACUUAUUAUUCGUGAAGAUAGAAUCUCUGAUUGGUUCCUUGUAACCUUUGCUGAAUAUUAUCUCAUAGCAACAGUUAAUUUGCGUAGGCACAGUCAAUGUUUGGCAGGAAUUUACUUCCCUUAACCACUGCCAUAUAGACAAUUGGGCUUUACUUCUUUUGAAAAGAGAAGUGAGAGAGGGCGCCUGGGUGGCUCAGUUGGUUAAGCGACUGCCUUCGGCUCAGGUCAUGAUCCUGGAGUCCCUGGAUCGAGUCCUGCAUCGAGUCCUGCAUCGGGCUCCCUGCUCGGCAGGGAGUCUGCUUCCCCCUCUGACCCUCCCCCCUCUCAUGUGCUCUCUCAUUCUCUCUCUCUCAAAUAAAUAAAUAAAAUCUUUAAAAAAAAAAAAAAAAGUGAGACAACUGAAAUAUAUUUAGUUAAACUCAUUAUUUUAUAGCUUUCAUUGGUCUGUACCUAGUAAUAUUAAUGGUGCCUUAAAAUCAGUAAUUAAAUAUAUGCAUUGAAAUAAUUAUUUAAAUAUUCAACUCAUUAUCAUAAUUUAUAUUAAUAAUAUUUACUCACUUCUAACCUAGGGACUAAUUUUUUUCUUAAUUUUCUUAAUAUUCAUUUCAGAUUGGACUUUUUUUUCUGUUUUCAGGUAUGUUAAAACUUUAAAGCAUGAUAAAUAUUUACCAAGUAUAUUUAGAUUUUAUAGUUAUCUUUUGGAGCAUUCUACAUUUGAGCUAUUAUUCCACGUAGUUUCAGGGUUUUUCUUUAUGGAAAGUUUAAUGAUGCUGCCAUAAUAAAUCAUAGUCUUUAAUGAAAAGGAGUUAUGUAACUCUAAAUGUAAAAUACCUACCAACAAGCUAUUUUAAGUAGUCCUAAAUGUAAAGGCUUCCAAAACAUUUUCACAUCCUCCAUAAUAAAAAGAGUAGUUUGAUGAGAAAUGCCAUUUAUAUAUUAGGAAAGUAUUACAGGCUUGUUCUGCAAAUCUUUUAGAACAGCUAUUAUCUGGUCAAAGCCUUGUGCUAGAUGCUGUGGAAACAAAGCAAUGAAUAAGAUCUCUUCAUGAAUGCUGUCGCAUUGAAUUAAGAGAUGAUAAAAAUAAUGUAUCAUAAUACAAAAUAAAAUCAGUAAAAUAAAGUUAGUAGAAGCAAAGAGAAAUUAUCAAAUUAUUCCAAUCCUAAGGAUGAGGAAGACUUUAUAUUUCCCUCUGUCAUAAUAUUUAUCUGAUUACUAUAACCGUUUCCUUCUCUGUCUUUCUCAGUAAAGGUGGGACUGAAUGUUCAUCUCAGUAUUUCCUGUGCGUACCACAGAGCUCUGAGCUAACAGAUGAUCUUCUAGCCUUAAAUGCUGUGUUCUUAAAAGCCAAGUAUUAUUGAGUAGGAAAACGGUUUUCUUUAUGCUUUGGGGCCCUAUUAAAAUAGCAAGCGCUGGCCCUGAAUUCUUGAGUUGUGGAUGGAGAGAACCUGCCAUCUGGACCAGCCUAACCUGUGAUCUAUUUAUUCCCUCAUUCAACAGACUUUAUUGAGUGUCAACUAUGAACAAGAUAGACUCAUGGAACUUCAUGGAACUUGCAACCCAGCAGAUGGUUCAGAUAUUGAUUCAGUAAUAAGGAGUGUGAUGCGCAGAAAUGCAGGGUGCUGUCAGGGACAUUUAACAGAGAGUGAACUUGGUCUGGAGCCCAGAGAAAGCUAUUCACCAGAAGUGACAAGAUAUUUAUGCUGCAACCUGAAGUGUGACUAUGAGUUAGCAGGAGAACAGAUUCAGGCAGCUGGAAAGACAUAUUCAAAGGCUGUGAUGGUUCGUUUUGUGUGUCAGCUUGGCUAGAUGAUAGUUCUCAGGUAUUCAAUUAAAUACUAAUCUAGGUGUUGCUGUGAAGGUAUUUUGUAUAGGUGGCUACAGCUACUAUUAGUUGAUUUUAGGUAAAGGAGAUUUUCAUAAUAUGGGUAAGCCUCAUAAAAUCAGCUGAAAGGCCUUAAGAUCAAAACUGAGGUUUCCUUGAGGAAGAAGAAAUUUUAUUUGUGGCCUGAAGCUUCACCUCCUGCUUUAGAGUUUCCAGCCUGCUUGAUUCUACAAAUUUCAGACUUUCGAACCCCACAUCAUUCACACACACACAGAGUACAAUUGUUCUUUUUUCCUCAAAAGUGUAUGUGUGUGUGUGGUGUAUAUACUUUCCUCAUGUAUAUAUACCAAGUGAGAGAGAGAGAGAAAGAAAGAGAGAGAGAGAGAGGAAAAAAUCCUGACUAAUUUAGAUGUUGGUAUCAGGAAAGGAAGGGGUGUCCUGCUGUGACAAAUACCUUAAAUACGGAAGUAGCUUUGGAAUUGGGGAAUGGGUAGAGAGAGAAGGAUUCUAAGGCACGUGGUAGAAAAAGCCUAGAUUGUCUUGACGAGACUGUUAGUGAAGGUUUGGAAGUUAAAGGUGAAGUCUCAAAAGGAAAUGAGGCGCAUGUUAUUGAGCACUGUAGGAAAGGGGAUACUUGUCAUAAAGUGGCAGAGAACUUGACUGACUUGUAGUCUACAAUUGUGUUGAAGGCACAAUAUUUAGCAAGGAUAUUUCCAAGUAUAGGGUGGAAGAUAUGGCCUUUCUCCUUGAUGAUUUUAUUAAAAUGCAAGUGGCAAGAAGUCCAUUGAGGAAGAAACUAUUACUCAAAAAGAAGCCAACACUUGAUGAUUUGGAAGGUUAUCAGUCUACCCAGUUUGUAAAGGAUGAUAAAACCAAGAAAAUUGUUGAAAAAGCAUGCUCUGGACAGGGACUAAGAAUGUGGCCGAGCAACUUUUUGUUAAAGAGAUUAGGUGUGUGACUGAUGGAUCCAAUCAACCAUCUCAACAGAAGCCAGGUAUAGUGAUGGAGUUACCCAGGAAGGAUCUGUGGAGAAUCAUUUUGUCUAAUGCUUGGAUCACCUUGACCUAUAGGGGAGGCCCCAAGGGAUUUUGAGAAUGUCAUACCAGCAGAAACAUUUCCAUCUUGGACAGAAAGGAACAGAAAGGAGCAGAAGCUGGAUGAAAUGAAAUGAAUGAAGGUUGUUGUACUCCCAGAAUUCUACAGGCAGGAAACAGGUUGAUAGAGUUAUCCAGCUGCAAACAUCUGCUACAAUUCAAGAUAAAGGAAGAAUGACAGAAGGUGAGGAAGCUACCAGUGAGGGCACAGAGGGUAAGGGAACCACCACAUGUAUCCUUCAAAAACACCUGCUAGCAUUCCUCUCAUUGGGGGUCACCAUAGCCACAAUCUACAAGCAACUGUCUCCGCCUGUAAUUUGUGCUGCUUUUGGUUAUUUAUUUUUUAUACAAUUACUAAUUCCUCUUGUUCCACCUUGUUUUGACAUACUCUAGGGAAACACACUCUCUUUAUAUUACAGGUAGUGGGGGUUUACCAAGGUGACAUAAUCUGCCUAGACUCCAGUUUUCAUUUUUUCAGUUCCUAAAGAAAAACCUCCCAAUGAUUUUCUAUAAUUUGACCCGUCAAAUUCUGAACUCCCAUUGUGUUUUUUAAGAUGAUAGAGAAUCAUAGAUAGAGAUAAUGUUGUGUGUCUUGAUUCCCACUACUUUCUAUUGCUUAACGUGAAAUAUCUGAGUCUGGGCUCUUUUAGCUUCCCUACAUGUUCCAUUCUCAAGCCCAUCUCUGUUCCUUUAGUCACUGGAUCACCCCUGUCUUGACGCUCUCUAUACCUUCCCUCACCCCUCUCUACCCAUCCAAUUCCUACUCAUGUUUCAUGGCUGCCUCGUUUUCCAAAAUCUUCCCAGAUGGCUCGAGCCUACCUAGCCCUUCUCUUUUACACUGCACUUAGAGUCAAUACCAAAAUUUUAUUUUGUAAUUUUUGAUGUAUAGCUUUUUACAAGCUUUGGUUUGUAAUUUUUAAUCUAAUUGUUUAAGGUGUUUGACACUCAUCUCUUUAUUAAGGAUACCACAAGCUACUUGAGAAUGUUGAUUAUAUCUUAUAUUUUUACAAACAUCAAAACACAGGGAAUAAAGCAAACAAGUGUUAUAAAAGCUAUCAAAAUUAUGAUUGAGAGCUCUAAGGCAACUGAAAGCAUUACUGAAUCAGCAGGGAGUCUUCUUCCAAACAUCACUGGCCCAUCUCUGUGAACCCCAAAGUGCAAUUCUCUUCAGGUAUCAUGAUCAUUCGGGAUGGUGUUUACAUACAACUCCCCAAGGAUUCUGUAGUGAGGCCUUGACAUCUAUAUUUUUACCAAGCCAAUCAGGUAUUUCCGAAAGUUGGAGGACAAUCUUGUAAGAAAUCUUGCUGUAAGGGUUAGUAAUGAAACUAGAUGUCCUGGGAUGCAAGACUUGUCAAGAAGAAGAGAAAAUCAGGCUGUGGCCAGACCCUUGGAGAAUCCCACUCCCUGUAGGUCUUGGGCUGAAACCUUGCCUUCAAACUCUCUAACGCUUUCUAAUUCUCCAAUCAGCAAUCCAACCUUAAACUUACUAUGUUCUAGUAAGUCUUCUAUACACACACUAGCUCUUUUAAAUAUAAUAAAAAUGCAUGAGAUAGAAUCCCUUUACUCUCCCUGUGUUUCAAGUGAAGAAACUCAAGCACAGAGGGCUAUGUAACCUGCCCAAGGCCAUAGACUAAGUAUGUAGCAGGGCUGAAAAUCAAACCCAGGCCAUCUGGCUCCAGAAUCUGUACUUUUAAUCACUAUAACCACUAUAAAACCACCACCGUGUUUUGCCUCACGGGCUCCACAUUUUGGAUUUACUACAUGUUUUUCCUACCCGCUAAUGUCAAUAAAAUAAAAAAAAGUAAGUACUCGGUAUCUAGUAUGCGUAAGAUACCAUGAUAGGUACUAGGAAUGCAACCUAGAAUAGGACUCCAUCUAUCCUGGCCUUCAAGAAACCUACAUUAUAAUGAAGAAUGCAGGCAAGUAAAACAACAUAUGAGCAAAUGUGCUGAUAAGCAUUAUAAUAGGGGCAUGAACAAGAUACUAUUGGAGUACAAAGGAGGGGAACCUAUUUUAGUCUUGGGAGCUGGAAAGAUGACCCAGAGGAAAGGUCAUGUGAGCCGAGAUCUGAAAGAGCUCCUGUAAGCAAGCUAAGGUAAUGGGCUCACAGCGCUGGCAGCGUUUAGCAGAGGGUGGCCAUCGGAGAGUAUUACAGUCAAAGGUAAGGGCACAUACAAAACACAUUAGGACAUUACAGAAAGUGUAAGUAGUUCACUAUAGAUACAAGAAGGUACAUGGUAACAGAUGAAUGAAAGAGGAAAGCUCUCACAAAUCUUUUCUUGAUUUCUCUAGUUUAACCGCUGACCUUACGAGGUCUACUCAAACUCAUGAUCAUUCUAAAUGUUCAGUGGUUCGGUUUGAAGUUUACUUGACCCACGAAAUAGGAUUAAUUGAAUCCUAGUAGCUCAGCAGAGCUCACCUUAGACUCUUUUCCUGAAUUUAACAUGUGCCAAUUGAUCAAUUAGCCUAAUAAAUGAAUAGCUCAUUUCUAAGCAUUUCUAGGCAUGUGACUGAACAUAAUCUUCUCCAAACAACAAAAACAUCAAAGAGGAUUCAGAACUUUACGUGUAAAUAAAUCCAAUAAAAGAAAGCUUAAUCUAGUACUUGAAAACUUGAAUAAUUUUUGUCAGUUGUUUAAACACUUCUAAUUUAUAGUUAGGGACCUAAAUUUUCAAUCUUCAUUAACAAGCACAGGGCAAUAAAGAUGGAUCACUAUAUUAAUAAAACAGAAUUAUUAUGUGUUAUUUAUACAGGGCAGCAAUUAAAAUCAGACUGAGAAGAUUAAGCACUCUAGCAUGCUGUAAUUUAUGUCAAAGUAAUGUCCUACUUUGAAAUCAGAUUCUGGCUUAAACAAUGAAGUAGAACAUAUAUUCAAAACAGCAAAGGGGGAUGGGAAAAUGAAAAACCAGCUUUAUGUAGAAUAUUGAAAAUCUUGUGACCAAUUUAAAAGAGAGAUCACUUGAGGAAUAUAAUCUGAGACAAAGGAAGGUUAAUGAUGGCUCAUUCUCUCCUUCUUAAUCCUCCAUAUUUAGUCAAUGUCAUUUCAAAAACUGCUUUCAUAAGAGCAAGUAGGGUAAAGUGUCUCAAAUGUCCUCUGAGUACUCUAAUGCUCUAUCUGGCCCUGACACUCUGAGUCACUACCUAGAGAAACACAAAGAAAACAUUUCAGUCUAUUUAGAGAUGUUUAGUUCAUAAAGGAAGAAUCUUCCACAAUCAAACUGGCUUAAAAAGGAAAGCUAGUGCUAGGAACAUCCUGAGCCUUACUCCUACUGCACUUAUCCCUAUUAAAACUAUAAAGUAGCUCUUUGAAAUAAUUCUGAGAAUAAAUGAACAAGAUGGAUUCUUGUAAUGUUUCUGAGACCUGAUUUAAAAAAUGCUUUAAGGCUGUAAUUUUUAAUCUGGGGCCCCACCAAGACGUGUGCAGCAAUAUACUAGGGGAAAAUGAUAGCCAGAGAUAUAAAUCUGUUGCAUCAUCCUGGAGAACCAAUUUCACUAAAGAAUUUUGGAGAUAAGUUUUGAUUUUUUUUUUUUUUUACACUUAAGAGGUUUUGUCACACCCACAUACAACCAAAAUUACUUUUUGGGUGUGAGCCUAGAAAGUAGAAGUUUUCAUGGGCUGCAAAUGACUGUCAAGUUUUACACUUUUAUGUUAUGAGGAAACCCAAGAUACUAGUAUUACAGUUGAAUUAAAGAGAAUGGGUCUUCAAUGGAAGACAGAUUUUGGGGUUGCCCUAGUCUUCAGGAUUGGUGUUUUUUUGUUUUUUGUUUUUCAGAGCUGGAAUUUGCCAUAUUUUCCUGAGUCUUUUUUUUUUAAUUACACGCACAAGUCAUUGACUCACCAAAAUUAUCUUAAUAUCCUGUCACAAAUGUGUUCAUAUAUCUAUAUUAUAUAUAUAAUAUAGAUAUAUAGAUUUUCUAAACUAUAUGACCACCAUUUUCCCAUGUUGUAGAAGAAUGAAAAAUUCUGGAGUUUGACACGUGAUCUUAGUCUCAUGUUGCUUUUGCAUUUUAAAAGUUUAGAGAUUUAAAUUUUUUUUUUUUUUUCAGUGAGGAAGGCUUGAGGUUCAAAGUCUGAAGAAAACUUCUCUGAAUCUCAAGUUUUCUUAUCUUUAAAAUGGGGAUAGUAACUGCCCUGAGAUUUCACACAAAUAUAAUGUAUAUGCAUGUAGGUACUUUUAAAUCUAUAGAUCACUAAAUGCAUGUCAAGAGAUCCUGUUUCUAUUGUAUGAUCACAUUAAUUGUCUCAUAUCACCUACCCCCACAUACAUCAAAAUACAAAAUAAACUGUACGAAUACAAAUGCAAAAUACAAACAGUAAAAUAGUUUGCGAACAUAUAAUUAAUAUUUCCUAAAUACCUUAAUGCACAGGGCAUGAAGGACUUGACCAUCAUUAACAGUGACCAGCACAAUAUCUGACACAGCAAACAGUUAAAAAAAUGGAAAAUAUGUUGAAUAUCAUAUCUGUCCAGUUCCAGUCAGAAAAUAUAAGUCACCAGCUAUUUUAACCAUGUUGCACUGAAGAACUGAAAGUGUAGAAAACAAACAUUACCGUAUCAGGGAAGUAGCAAUUGCAAAAGUAGCUAUCUUCCAAAGGGAAGAGGUUAGUGACUUAAACUUAGGAGCUGGAGAAGAGCUCACACUCAGACCUCUAAAGAUGAAGAGAUGUUUGGCUGAAGCAUCUCCAAGCUUAGGAUAGGGGAGGGAGAUCUCUUCUUCCUCCAGCUCUCCAGUCUCUCUCCGGAACCCUGUAUUAGCUUAGCCCAACAUAGAGCUAGCUGGGAGCUGGCAGAGCAGGAAUGUUGUGAGCAGAAUUCCAGCACCAGCAUCACAGCCCAGAGUGUGGAAGGGCAGGUUUGUAGCUCACACAAUAGCACUGCGUCCAGCUCAAACACAGGAAUGGCAAACUAGAUGAAAGAAUAUAAAGGGACGAAGGAAGAAAAGGAAUGAAGGAAGGGAUCAUUCAUUUAUUCCGUGACUGAUGAGGCAAAAAUCUAAGCUCCCUAUAGUGCUUUCUCAAAUCUGUAUUCCCAAGGACGAGAUAUAAGCUGAAAUUUAUGAAUCAUAUCACAUUCAAAUGCACUAGGGAAGUUUGCUAUUUAGAGACAUUUCAUGGCAAAUUGUUUUGCAAGACAAAUAAUCACUCACUAAUUUAACUGAUGCAUAAAUCACACUUUUCAUACAUUUGGUUUGCUUAGCAAAUUGGAUCUAUAUUGAAAAAUAUGAGAUUCACAUUAUAAAAUCUCUAAUACCUACUUGGCUCCCAAAGGACAUCCUCAACAUAUAAUAUGCCAGAUUGAGGUGGCACAAUUUUAGACCUUGGAAAGAUGAUAAAAACUCCUGCUUCCUCACUCCCACCUGGCCCAAAUUUGAAGGUGUCACAGAAGAGAUUGAAGAAAUUGGUAACGCUGAUAAAACAAAAUUUACAAGUGUGAGAAAUAUUAAGAGAGAAAAGGUGUGUGCGUGCAUGUGUGGGUGUGUGUGUGGGGGGGGGGUGUGUGUUAAAUGGAGUUGUGCUGCAGUCUUCUGGAACAGAAGGUCUGAUACCUCAGAAGAAGAAUGGAUUGUGGGACAGCAUUUAGGUUGCCUGUUUUGCCUCACUGCACACUGUCCUGGGUAGAUCAUUGUUUUCUCUUCCCUCAUUCCCAAUAAGAGUCAAAAAAUUAUGACACUAACCAAAUACCACCAUAGUUAUGGCAUAACAAGCACAGCUGGAAUGAAGAGCAACUGAUAACUAAUCAAAGCAAAGUAGCAAGUCCCGAGCAUUCCCUGUGUUAUCUUCCACUCUCUCCAAAAAUGAGGGCUGAAGAAUUAUACUUCAAGAGAAAAUUGUUAAAGAAUAUAAUGUGUGGGAAAAGAGAAAUGGAAAAUAUGAAUGCUCAAAUAAGAGCUCUCUACCUUAGGUUGCAUCCACAUCUGACCCCCACAUUCUAAAUCUACCAGAAGGUGUGUCUGCUAGGACUUGGAUUUUAGCUUUUCAACCGGAUUACACAUUAGCAGGCAAUGUAGCUAAUAUUCCUGUAAUACAAGAGAUAACUAGCUCAUUGAGAAAGGUAAAAACUACAAUACAAAGAUAAUUCAACAAUCUAUUUGGAACCUAGAUGUAGUACCAUAAAAAAUAUAAGAACACUAAAGACAAAGAGAAAUUUUUAAGUUGAGUAUAUUGCUAAAAAUAAAGACAAAUUAGAUUGGCAACGAACACCUCAAGAGCAAGACUAAGUGCAAAAGAGACAAUGGAGUGAUAUUUAAAAAUAUUUAGUGAAAAGAAACUUUGACUCUGAACAUUAUAUCUAGGUAAAUUGACAUUGAAAUAGAUCAGUCUAUAGCCAGACCUAAGAAUACAAAUCUUAAGGUUUGGCACACAGAACCAUCUUUGAAAACAAUCUUGGAAAAACAUAAACAAAUCUGGGGGUUUGCUAAGGGUGUGAGGUAAUUUAGUAAAAUCUACCAUUAUUUUAUAAAUCAAUCCAAACCACACUAUAGAAGUAAAUGCGAACAAUGUAAAAUUAUAAAUGAUAGCCACACAAAGGGAGUAGUGGAAGGUGGGCAGCCUAGAGGAAAUGGUCUUAUUUGGACCAAGACCUAAACAUUGUCAAGCUUAGGAAGUUGAAAACAAACAAACAAAAAAUAACAUAUUUAUAAGAUUUAUUCUAUAUAACACUAUAGAAUGUGUAACUUCCAUGAUAACAAAGAACCAACAAAAGAUAUACAGGAAAGGAAAAAGGGAAAAAUUACAUAUGGCAAAAGGCUUAAUAUGACAACAACUGAAAUAAAUUAAAAAUUUUAAUUUCACCAAUUAAAAGCAGUUAGCUAUCAUACUGAAUAAUAACAGUAUCCUACUACACAUUACGUAUAAGUGAUAGAUUAGAACUAAAAUGGUAUAGAAAGUUGAAAUUAAAGUAAAAGGAACCAAUAUACCCCACAGGUAUGAAUUAAACACACAUUAAGUAAGCAUUUCAAUAUCAGAAAAGAAACAGAAAAUAUACAUACACACACAUACACACACAUGCUCACAAGAUAAUGCAAAGUAACAGUAAAAGAAAAAUGAUCAAAACCUAACAACAUAGCCUCAAAAGAUAUCAAGAGAAAAACUGACAGAACUAUAAUGAGAAAUUGGAAAUUGAGAGUGGCUUUUUUCAUAUUGUUUUGUUUUUAUGGAGAAAAAAACCCAAGGUUCAUCUUCAGAGAAAUAAAAUACAGGUGGAUUAAAGCUUUAAAUGUAGGGGGGGAAAUGUAGAAAAAAAAAUAUGGGUGAUAGGAGAAAUUUCAAAAUACUUCUGUGACCUUCUGAUAGAAAAGGACUUUUUAAGAUUAGAUCCUAAAAACAAACCCACAAAAUAGCAGCCACCAACAAAGAUGUAUUUGACUAUAUCAAAUAAAACUUUGUACUUAAUGAAAGACAACAUAGAUAAUGUAAACAAAUGAGCUAUAUACUUGGAGAAGAUAAUUGCAAAGUCUGAGAGUAAAAACAUUAACAUUGGGAAUAUAAGUGGAACUCCAGGGAAAUGUCAAGAAAUUUAUCAAAAUCCAAUAUAAACAUGGAAAAAGAAUCGGAAUAGGCCAAUUUCAAUGCUUUCCAGAGAAAACAAAUUAAAGUACAUGUGAGAUACAAGUCUGCAUCCACUAAACUUGGCAAAAAUUAGAAAAAAAAAAAAAAAAGAUAAUUCCAAGUGCUAGAAUAAGGGCAGAUAGAAAGCUUUACACACUGUGGGUAGAAAUAUCCUGGAAAUAAAUCUGAUAAGAUUUAAUGAAAACCAAGUUAAAUAUCAUGUAUCCUAGAACUCAUUAACCUCACUCCCAGGAGUACACCCCAGAUAAUAAAAUAUAUAAAUAGUCACUUCAGUGUCUUAUUGGCAAUGGUUGCCUACUGAAUCAGGGUGCCAUCUCUCCACCUCUUUCCUUCCCUUCAAGAAUCUGUCCUGGCACUGGUAGAUCUGUGUUUUUGUUAUUACAAUUAAAUGGUAAUGAUCUUAAGGUCAUCAGGAGGGUUAGCACAGAGUCUAGGAACAGGAUCAAACCAGUCGAAAAUUGGGUCAUGGAGGCUUGUUUGGAGUUUGUGCCUUCUGGCAUUUGACCUUAGUCUGAGGAUCAAGCAGUGCCUGUAAGCAAGGCUAGAAAACUGGGUUAUUAUGGCUUGUUCAUGAGUCCCUGAUGAUAAGCUCAGACAGAGAAAAACGAAUCCAAAACUUAGAUGAGUCUGAAAACCAAAUUUCAAAGCAUGUGAAGAAAAGUAAUAUUAAAAAGCCAAUAACAUUGGUAACCAAAGAAAAGGGAUAUGAUAAAAGCUGAAAAAGAAGAUUCUUCGAUGAAUAUGCUUAGAAUUUCUCAGAGACAAGAUUGUUCUCCAAUAUUUCCUCCCCCUUUCCUGAAGAAGUAUUUUAAUUCUUCACUCUAAUGAACUCAGAUGUGGGUGAUUUGCCUUUGGGGGGGAAAAAAAAGCAUCUCUCUCUUUUUUUAAAUCCCUCUAUGAGUCUCUUGAUCGAAAAUUUCCUGUAAUAUCUAUUUAUCUAUCUAUCCAUUUAUUACUAAAAUUAUCCAUUUUCUACCUACCUAUCAUUUACAUCUAUAUAAAUAUUUGCAUGCAGAUACAUUUCCUGUGGUUUCUCCAUAAUAGUCCUGUUUUUCUUUCACUAGAAACCAAAUACAGUUCUAUCUUAUAUAUUAUAGCUCUUUAAAUAUUUGUAACAAAUAUCAUGUAUCUUUGUCUUUCAUUCUAUCAAUUAAAUAUCCCAACCUCAUAAUUUUUCCUUAUGUGGCAUAGAUGUCAAUGUCCUCACUAUGAUACUGACCUAUUUCUCCAAAUGUUUAAUGUGGAAAUCCUAAAGCUGAGGAAUCAAACUUUACAUGGUUGGGAAAAAAAAAAUGUAAAACAAUUAUAAGCCUGGAACCACAACAAAACUCACUCUUGAUACUCAUUUUCCUUCAUGAUUAUUUAAAGAAACAUCACAAAAAAUAUGGUCCAAGCAAGAUCAGAAAAAAGAAGCUGGAGUAUAAUGGGGAAAAAAAUGUUAUUCUUAGUCCAAAAUCUGGAUGGAAAUUCCAUCUCUGUGCCUCCCAUGAGCGAGGUAUUUGACCCUGAUGAAGCUUGGUUCACUCAGCCUUCCUA